rnacentral:rRNA from 1 species
UACGUAUGGAGCAAGCGUUAUCCGGAUUUACUGGGUGUAAAGGGUGCGUAGGUGGCAGUGCAAGUCAGAUGUGAAAGGCCGGGGCUCAACCCCGGAGCUGCAUUUGAAACUGCUCGGCUAGAGUACAGGAGAGGCAGGCGGAAUUCCUAGUGUAGCGGUGAAAUGCGUAGAUAUUAGGAGGAACACCAGUGGCGAAGGCGACUUGCUGGACUGUUACUGACACUGAGGCACGAAAGCGUGGGGAGCAAACAGG